rnacentral:rRNA from 1 species
GACGAACGCUGGCGGCGUGCUUAACACAUGCAAGUCGAACGGAAAGGCCCCUUUGGGGGUCCUCGAGUGGCGAACGGGUGAGUAACACGUGAGUAACCUUCCCUUUACUUCGGGAUAACUUCAGGAAACUGGGGCUAAUACCGGAUAGGAAUCCUUGCUGCAUGGUGGGGGUUGGAAAGCUUCGGCGGUUUUGGAUGGACUCGCGGCUUAUCAGCUUGUUGGUGGGGUAGUGGCUUACCAAGGCUUUGACGGGUAGCCGGCCUGAGAGGGCGACCGGCCACAUAGGGACUGAGAUACGGCCCAGACUCCUACGGGAGGCAGCAGUGGGGAAGAUUGCACAAUGGGCGGAAGCCUGAUGCAGCAACGCCGCGUGCGGGAUGACGGCCUUCGGGUUGUAAACCGCUUUCAGCAGGGGCGAAGCUUGUGGUGACGGUACCUGCAGAAGAAGCACCGGCUAACUACGUG